rnacentral:rRNA from 1 species
UGCAGUCGGACGGUAGCACAGAGGAGCUUGCUCCUUGGGUGACGAGUGGCGGACGGGUGAGUAAUGUCUGGGGAUCUGCCCGAUAGAGGGGGAUAACCACUGGAAACGGUGGCUAAUACCGCAUAACGUCGCAAGACCAAAGAGGGGGACCUUCGGGCCUCUCACUAUCGGAUGAACCCAGAUGGGAUUAUCUAGUAGGCGGGGUAAUGGCCCACCUAGGCCACUAUCCCUAUCUGGUCUGAGAGGAUGACCACCCACACUGGAACUGAGACACGGUCCACACUCCUACGGGAGGCAGCAGUGGGGAAUAUUGCACAAUGGGCGCAAGCCUGAUGCACCCAUGCCGCGUGUAUGAAGAAGGCCUUCGGGUUGUAAAGUACUUUCAGCGGGGAGGAAGGCGACGGGGUUAAUAACCCUGUCUAUUGACGUUACCCGCAGAAGAAGCACCGGCUAACUCCGUG